GAUGAACGCUGGCGGCAGGCCUAACACAUGCAAGUCGAGCGAGCGGCGGACGGGUGAGUAAUAUAUCGGAACGUACCGAGUAAUGGGGGAUAACCAAUCGAAAGAUUGGCUAAUACCGCAUAUUAUUCGAGCGGCCGAUAACUGAUUAGCUAGUUGGUGGGGUAAAGGCCUACCAAGGCGACGAUCAGUAGCGGGUCUGAGAGGACGAUCCGCCACACUUGGACUGAGACACGGCCCAGACUCCUACGGGAGGCAGCAGUGGGGAAUUUUGGACAAUGGGGGCAACCCUGAUCCAGCCAUGCCGCGUGUAUGAAGAAGGCCUUCGGGUUGUAAAGUCCUUUUGUUAGGGAAGCGGUACCUAAAGAAUAAGCACCGGCUAACUUCGUGCCAGCAGCCGCGGUAAUAC
rnacentral:rRNA from 1 species